AGGACGAACGCUGGCGGCGUGCCUAACACAUGCAAGUCGAGCGGUAAGGCCUUUCGGGGUACACGAGCGGCGAACGGGUGAGUAACACGUGGGUGAUCUGCCCUGCACUCUGGGAUAAGCCUGGGAAACUGGGUCUAAUACCGGAUAUGACCGCGCUACGCAUGUGGUGUGGUGGAAAGUUCUGGCGGUGGAGGAUGAGCUCGCGGCCUAUCAGCUUGUUGGUGGGGUAAUGGCCUACCAAGGCUUCGGACGGGUAGCCGGCCUGAGAGGGUGACCGGCCACACGUGGGACUGAGACACGGCCCAGACUCCUACGGGAGGCAGCAGUGGGAAUAUUGGACAAGUGGGCGAAAGCCUGAUCCAGCAACGCCGCGUGAGGAUGACGGCCUUCGGGUUGUAACCGUCUUCGGCGCCGACGAAGCGAGAGUGACGGAGCGCGAAGAAGAACGCGACCG
rnacentral:rRNA from 1 species